CUACGGGGCGCAGCAGGCGAGAAAACUUUGCAAUGUGCGAAAGCACGACAAGGUUAAUCCGAGUGGUUUCUGCUAAAGGAACCUUUUGACAGUCCUAGAAACACUGUUGAAUAAGGGGUGGGCAAGUUCUGGUGUCAGCCGCCGCGGUAAAACCAGCACCUCAAGUGGUCAGGAUGAUUAUUGGGCCUAAAGCAUCCGUAGCCGGCUCUGUAAGUUUUCGGUUAAAUCUGUACGCUCAACGUACAGGCUGCCGGGAAUACUGCAGAGCUAGGGGGUGGGAGAGGUAGACGGUACUCGGUAGGAAGGGGUAAAAUCCUUUGACCUAUUGAUGACCACCUGUGGCGAAGGCGGUCUACCAGAACACGUCCGACGGUGAGGGAUGAAAGCUGGGGGAGCAAACCGGAUUAGAUACCCGAGUAGUC
rnacentral:rRNA from 1 species